rnacentral:rRNA from 1 species
AGUGAACGCUGGCGGCAGGCCUAAUACAUGCAAGUCGAACGGCAGCACAGUGGAGCUUGCUCCAUGGGUGGCGAGUGGCGGACGGGUGAGGAAUACAUGGGAAUCUGCCCAGUCGUGGGGGAUAACGUAGGGAAACUUACGCUAAUACCGCAUGCGCCCUUCGGGGGAAAGCCGGGGACCUUCGGGCCUGGCGCGAUUGGAUGAGCCCAUGUUCGAUUAGCUAGUUGGCGGGGUAAAGGCCCACCAAGGCGACGAUCGAUAGCUGGUCUGAGAGGAGGAUCAGCCACACUGGGACUGAGACACGGCCCAGACUCCUACGGGAGGCAGCAGUAGGGAAUAUUGGACAAUGGGCGCAAGCCUGAUCCAGCCAUGCCGCGUGAGUGAAGAAGGCCCUCGGGUUGUAAAGCUCUUUUGUCCGGGAAGAAAAGCAUCGGGCUAAUACCUCGGUGUUCUGACGGUACCGGAAGAAUAAGCACCGGCUAACUUCGUG